GCCGGGUGUGGUGGUGGGCACCUGUAAUCCCAGCUACUCGGGAGGCUGAGGCAGGAGGAUUGCUUGAACCCAGGAGGCAGAGGUUGCAGUGAGUCAGGAUGGCACCACUGCACUUCAGCCUGGGCAACAGAGCAAGACUCUGUCUCCA
ensembl:misc_RNA Metazoa_SRP Metazoan signal recognition particle RNA